rnacentral:rRNA from 1 species
UGAGUACGAGAUGCUACGGCAUCGAAGCAGUCUAUGUCAUACUUCCAAGAAAAGCUUGCACUGUCAUAAACAAAGAAUGCCUGUACCAUAACCGACACAGGUGGGUAGGUAGAGUAUACUAAGGGGCGCGAGAUAACUCUCUCUAAGGAACUCGGCAAAAUGAUUCCGUAACUUCGGGAGAAGGAGUGCCUUAUUUCUAAGGUUGCAAUAACAAGAUCCAAGCAACUGUUUACCAAAAACACAGGUCUCCGCUAAGUCGUAGGACGAUGUAUGGGGGCUGACGCCUGCCCAGUGCCAGAAGGUUAAAGAAGUUGGUUAGCAUUAGCGAAGCUGAUAACUGAAGCCCUGGUGAACGGCGGCCGUAACAAUAACGGUCCUAAGGUAGCGAAAUUCCUUCGGGUAAGUUCCGACCCGCACGAAAGGCGUAAUGAUUUGGAUACUGUCUCGGAGAGGGGCUCGGUGAAAUAGACUUGUCUGUGAAGAUGCGGACUACCUGCACCUGGACAGAAAGACCCUAUGAAGCUUUACUGUAACUUGAGAUUGAAAUUGGACUUUAUUUGCGCAGUAUAGGUGGGAGGCGUUGAGAAUAAUCUUGCGGGAUUGUUGGAGCCAUCAGUGAGAUACCACUCUUGUAAUGUUAGAUUUCUAACUUUGUAUCAUUAUCUGGUCAAAGAACAGUUUCAGGCGGGCAGUUUGACUGGGGCGGUCGCCUCCCAAAGGGUAACGGAGGCGCACAAAGGUUUCCUCUGAACGGGUAGAAAUCGUAUCUAGAGUGUAAAGGCAUAAGGAAGCUUGACUGUGAGACCUACAAGUCGAGCAGGGACGAAAGUCGGUCUUAGUGAUCUGACGGUGCUGAGUGGAAAGGCCGUCACUCAACGGAUAAAAGUUACUCUAAGGAUAACAGGCUGAUCUCCCCCAAGAGUUCACAUCGACGGGGAGGUUUGGCACCUCGAUGUCGGCUCAUCGCAUCCUGGGGCGGUAGUCCGUCCCAAGGGAUGGGCUGUUCGCCCAUGAAAGCGGUACGCGAGCUGGGUUCAGAACGUCGUGAGACAGUUCGGUCCAUAUCCGGUGUAGGCGUUAGAAUAUUGAGAGGAGCCUUCUCUAGUACGAGAGGACCGAGAAGGACAUACCUCUGGUGUACCAGUUAUCGUGCCAACGGUAAACGCUGGGUAGCUAUGUAUGGAGUGGAUAACCGCUGAAAGCAUCUAAGUGGGAAGCCCACCUCAAGAUAAG